GGGGAAUUAGCUCAAAGGUAGAGCGCUCGCUUCGCAUGCGAGAGGUCGGGGGUUCAAGUCCAUCGUUCGCUA
rnacentral:tRNA from 1 species